UACGGAGGGGGCUAGCGUUGUUCGGAAUUACUGGGCGUAAAGCGCGCGUAGGCGGCUUUGUAAGUUAGAGGUGAAAGCCCGGAGCUUAACUCCGGAACUGCCUUUAAGACUGCAUCGCUAGAAUUGUGGAGAGGUAAGUGGAAUUCCGAGUGUAGAGGUGAAAUUCGUAGAUAUUCGGAAGAACACCAGUGGCGAAGGCGACUCACUGGACAUGUAUUGACGCUGAGGUACGAAAGCGUGGGGAGCAAACAGG
rnacentral:rRNA from 1 species